UUUUUUAUGUCAAGCUGUUGUGCAAAAAAAAAAAAAAAAGGAUUGAUAAAUCAGCGUCUCAGACCAGUAAAACUUUUCAGCUCCUUGCAAACAUUUCAGUGGUGUUUGUUGUCCAGAUGGCCUCAGUCUAGCUCUCUGUGCUGGUCACAACAACAAAGUGACUCGGUUUCAUGCAGCAUGGACCUGCGUGCUGAACUCCAUUAAGGCAGCUUUAUUGUUCUUCUGUUUGAUCUCAUUCCCACCUUUCAUCUUUUGCUUCCUGCACGCUGAGGGUUGAGAUCUGUAAAGGUCCUGGAUGGAUGGAGUGUCAGCCAUGAUGAUCAUCCAGACAUAACUGUUUGCUGGACGAGCCAAACCGCACAGUGAUGGACGAACUCAGGGCAGACUAAAUAACUGCAGCUUCGACAAUGACCAGCAAGUCCAAGUGACCAACAAAACCACUAACAGGUGAUGGCAGUAAUUGUGACAGAGCUGGAUAUGAAGCUGAGGCCGUUAUUCAUGCUGACAUGGAGAGUGGCUGACCUGGAAAAAGGGAAGAUUUCCGGCAAUGAAUGAAAGGGUCCACUUAACAAAACCAAAUGAAUGUGUUUGUGUGCUAUAUUUGUCGUCUAAUUAGUUUAUUUUCAUUUCAGCAGGAGGGUGAAAUCGUGGCAUGUUUCUCUCUGAUCCCAGGUAUAUUUGGUAUCACGAUUAAUGCAUUUUUUAAGCUUCACGUAUUGGGAAUGUCACACAAAACCUAAUUCCCUGAUCCAUGUAUGUCAGCAGAGAAGCUAAGUUAGCCUUUUUAAAUUUUUAAAAUUUCAAUCUGUUUUUGUGUUCACAGUUUACUAAACUCUGCUUUAGAUUAAAGUAGAGGUGAGUCAGCUUCUUGGUGUCAUUAAUGAGCAUGCAUAAACAAAAAUACGAGCACAA